CUAUACGCACCGUCUCUCCGCCUUUCCUUCUUCUUCAGUUAAAAAACAACUUUUUAUUCGCUCAUUUACAGAUAAUUACUACUGCUCCUCUUCUUUUCUUCAGUUUAUCAAUUUCCAUUUCGUAACGCUCCUUCUCCUUCCGUCACCACUACCUUUUCCUCUACCAGCAGAAGCAGUCCAUGGCAGUUUAAAAAGAUUCUUCUGAACUCCGUCAAAAAAAAAUCCAAAUAAGCAAUACAACAGUUACCACAGUCCUUAAUUAUUAUUAUUCUUUUGUAAUAUUGAUCUCUAAUUCUUGACAUGUCGAGUCCGUCGGAUCGCUUAGGGAGGCCUUGUCUUGAGGGGUUCUCUAGUAAUGAAGAGAAAAGAGAGAGGAAAUCGGAUUUUGAGAACUCAGAGGAAGAAAGGAAGACUAGAAUUGGGAGUUUGAAAAGGAAAGCAAUGAAGGCGUCUAGUAAACUCAGGCGUUCUCUCACGAAAAGCAAGAAAAAAGGUACUGGUGGCGAAGGGGUUUCUGCUGCAAUUGAGGAUGUUCGAGAUGUUGAGGAGCUUCGGGUUGUAGAUUCAUUUAAACAGUUACUUAUGGCGGACGAUUUGCUUCCUGCUAGACAUGAUGAUUAUCAUAUGUUAUUGAGGUUCUUAAAAGCAAGGAAGUUUGAUGUUGAGAAAGCCAAACAGAUGUGGGCCAACAUGCUACAGUGGAGGAAAGACUUCGGUACUGACACAAUUUUGGAGGAUUUCGAGUUCAGUGAGUUGAAAGAAGUUCUAAAUUACUACCCUCAGGGUUAUCAUGGUGUAGAUAAGGAUGGGAGACCCGUUUACAUCGAAAGACUUGGAAAAGUUGAUUCCAGCAAACUUAUGGAAGUGACCACUUUAGAAAGAUAUUUGAGAUAUCACGUGCAGGAGUUUGAAAAGACAUUCGCGAUUAAGUUUCCAGCUUGCUCCAUUGCCGCAAAGAGACACAUAGAUUCAAGUACAACUAUUUUGGAUGUGCAAGGACUUGGUUUAAAAAACUUCACCAAGUCCGCGCGAGAACUCAUCAUUCAGCUCCAGAAGAUUGAUGGUGACAACUAUCCUGAGACACUUUGCAGAAUGUUUGUCAUUAAUGCUGGUCCUGGUUUUAAGCUGCUCUGGAAAACAGUGAAAUCUUUUCUCGAUCCCAACACAGCUUCCAAGAUUUAUGUUCUUGGUAACAAGUACCAGAGCAAGUUGCUUGAAAUAAUAGGCUCUAGUGAGUUGCCCGAGUUUUUAGGUGGUAGCUGUACUUGUACUGAUCAGGGAGGCUGUAUGAGAUCUGACAAGGGGCCGUGGAAAGAUCCAAACAUUUUAAAGAUGGUUCUCACUGGUGAAGCACAAUAUUCCAGACAAAUAGUAACUAUUUCAAAUAGUGGGGGCAGGGUAAUUGCUUAUGACAAGCCAUUCAAUCAAAUGAUAAAAACAAGUGAUACUUCCAAUGCAGAGUCAGGAUCUGAAGUGGAAGAUGUUGGCUCUCCGAAGCCAACUGGGAGCUAUUUACUGCCAAGCCUGGUUCCUGUCUCUGAAGAAGCUAGGGUGGCUGGUAAGACGAGUGCUGCCAUUUUCCCUGAUAACAAUGGAAAUAUACCUAUAAUUGACAAGACAGUGGAUGCUGAAUUUCAAGAUUCAUCUCCUUCCACAGGCACACCUUCUCUGUUAAGUGUAGAGAAGAUUUCAGAAGGAAUCUCUGCUCGUACCUGGGCUGUGCUUGUGGCCGUCUUCAUAACCCUUCUUGCUUUCUUCCGUUCAAUGGCAUUUUGGAAGGCCAAGAAACACUCUGCAUCUGAUUCUGCCAGUGACAUUACUGACCUGACUUUUGAAUCGGCGCCAAAGGAGGAAUUCCGACCCCCUUCUCCCACUCCAGGGUUUACUGAGGCAGACCUUCUUUCAUCUGUCAUGAAAAGGCUGGGUGAACUUGAGCAGAAGGUUGACACAUUACAGACAACACCUUUCCAGAUGCCUUGUGAAAAAGAGGAGCUACUUCAUGCUGCUGUCUAUCGUGUGGAUGCAUUAGAAGCAGAGCUAAUUGCAACGAAAAAGUUAAUGGGAUGGAGUGGGGUUGUAUCUGAGUGUUGGGCAAGCUAAACAGGUUUGAUGCCAAUACCUCAUUUUUCUGAUGGCUCUUCGCCACCAUGUUUUCUGCAUUUGACAAAUAACUAUAAUUUUUAGGAAUACUUGUUUAAUCAGAAAUUGAUAAUGUGAACCUUUGGAUGGAAAGAAAAUUUGUACUUGUGGUCCAUGUGGCAUAUUUCUAACCAUCAUGCUUCUCACUCAAAGGCUUUGCACGAAGCUUUAAUCAGGCUAGAAGAACUUCUUGCAUAUGUAGAUGGUUGUGAAAAGGCAAGUUUUCAGAAAAAGAAGUUUUGCUGGUGAAGAGGUUUCUGCACAGGAGGAAUUUAUGUUGAUACCUUCGUUAAUUUCCAUAAUUAAUCUUCCACAGAUAUACGAGGUAAUAUUCCAAUUUGCUCUGGAUGAGAAUUUGGCAUCCAUAAAGAAGAGGGUGGGGCUGUUGCUCCUGUUGUGGUUUGCCUUCGUGAGAUAAGUUGAUAAUUGUAGCUUAAUUGGCGUGUUGCUGUUAAGAGAAGAUACCAGAAAGAGAAGCGCGUUCCUGGCAUUUUGUCUAUUCUACAUGAAAUUGAAAUGCAAGCCUGUAGUGUUUAUUACUGAGAAUUUGCACCAGUAGGCACAGGCCAUUAUUUGGGCAAGUAGCGUUGUGCCUUGUUUAUUAUAAAAAAAAUUACGCCUGAAGUCUUUUCACAUAUAGAUAGGGAAGUGUAAGGGAUGUGAACAUUGACCAAGAGGAAGAGAGGGAGAAGGUAGGAUCCCUGAUAAACAAUUUGCCCGGAUGCUGGGCUGCGAAAAUACGGCAAUGUAAUAACAGUGCUGCAAUCAAGCAGACAAUCACAAUCAAAAUGAGGAACUUACACGACCAGUUUCAGAUGUUAAA